GGAGACAAGAAGGCAUCUUCUUGUUUUUAAAAGACCUAGCAAUAGGUAUGCUUAGGGAGGAGCUUGCGUCACAUUAGUUAGUUGGUGGGGUAAAGGCCUACCAAGACUAUGAUGUGUAGCCGGGCUGAGAGGUUGAACGGCCACAUUGGGACUGAGACACGGCCCAAACUCCUACGGGAGGCAGCAGUAGGGAAUUUUCGGCAAUGGAGGAAACUCUGACCGAGCAACGCCGCGUGAACGAUGAAGUAUUUCGGUACGUAAAGUUCUUUUAUUAGGGAAGAAUAAAUGAUGGAAAAAUCAUUCUGACGGUACCUAAUGAAUAAGCCCCGGCUAACUAUGUGCCAGCAGCCGCGGUAAUACAUAGGGGGCAAGCGUUAUCCGGAAUUAUUGGGCGUAAAGGGUGCGUAGGCGGUUAAAUAAGUUUAUGGUCUAAGUGCAAUGCUCAACAUUGUGAUGCUAUAAAAACUGUUUAGCUAGAGUAAGAUAGAGGCAAGUGGAAUUCCAUGUGUAGUGGUAAAAUGCGUAAAUAUAUGGAGGAACACCAGUAGCGAAGGCGGCUUGCUGGGUCUUUACUGACGCUGAGGCACGAAAGCGUGGGGAGCAAACAGGAUUAGAUACCCUGGUAGUCCACGCCGUAAACGAUGAGUACUAAACGUUGGGUAAAACCAGUGUUGAAGUUAACACAUUAAGUACUCCGCCUGAGUAGUACGUACGCAAGUAUGAAACUUAAAGGAAUUGACGGGACUCCGCACAAGCGGUGGAUCAUGUUGUUUAAUUCGAAGGUACCCGAAAAACCUCACCAGGUCUUGACAUGCUUCUGCAAAGCUGUAGAAACACAGUGGAGGUUAUCAGUUGCACAGGUGGUGCAUGGUUGUCGUCAGCUCGUGUCGUGAGAUGUUGGGUUAAGUCCCGCAACGAGCGCAACCCUUAUUGUUAGUUACCAGCACGUAAUGGUGGGGACUUUAGCAAGACUGCCAGUGAUAAAUUGGAGGAAGGUGGGGACGACGUCAAAUCAUCAUGCCCCUUAUGACCUGGGCUACAAACGUGAUACAAUGGCUGUUACAAAGGGUAGCUGAAGCGCAAGUUUUUGGCGAAUCUCAAAAAAACAGUCUCAGUUCGGAUUGAAGUCUGCAACUCGACUUCAUGAAGUUGGAAUCGCUAGUAAUCGCGAAUCAGCAUGUCCCGGUGAAUACGUUC
rnacentral:rRNA from 1 species